CCUACGGGCGGCAGCAGUGAGGAAUAUUGGUCAAUGGACGGAAGUCUGAACCAGCCAUGCCGCGUGCAGGAAGACGGCUCUAUGAGUUGUAAACUGCUUUUGUACAAGGGAAAACCGGAAUACGUGUAUGCAGCUGAAAGUACUGUACGAAUAAGGAUAGGCUAACUCCGUGCCAGCAGCCGCGGUAAUACGGAGGAGCCAAGCGUUAUCCGGAUUUAUUGGGUUUCACGGGUGCGUAGGCGGAUUGAUAAGUUAGAGGUGAAAUGUCCGUGCUUAACUCGGGAACUGCCUCUAAUACUGUUGAUCUAGAGCGUAGAUGCGGUAGGCGGAAUGUAUUGUGUAGCGGU
rnacentral:rRNA from 1 species